ACUAAACAACCAUGCAUUUAAAUCAGCAACACAAAUGUUUAUUUCACAUGAACAAGUAUUUUCCCUAGGUAGAAAUGAGCAUAAGGAAACAAAAAAAAAUUCAGUUUGCAUUUUUACCAUUUUUAUAAGAUUUUAUACACAUUUUCAAAAUUUCAGCCUAGAUUUACAAAUCUUUGACUAAACUAGCUUCACACCGAGGCCCGUAGGAACUUAUUUUUAUAACAGAUGUG
rnacentral:lncRNA from 1 species